rnacentral:tRNA from 1 species
AAGGGCCACUUUGAUAGAGUGAACCAUGAGGGUUAAAGUCCCUCCAACUCCU